UACGAAGGUGGCAAGCGUUGUUCGGAUUCACUGGGCGUACAGGGUGUGUAGGCGGUUUGGUAAGCCUUCUGUUAAAGCUUCGGGCCCAACCGGAAAGCGCAGAGGGUACUGCCAGGCUAGAGUGCAGGAGAGGAAAGCGGAAUUCCCGGUGUAGUGGUGAAAUGCGUAGAUAGUCGGGAGGAACACCAGAGGCGAAGGCGGGUGCUGGGCUGACACUGACGCUGACAGCGCGAAAGCUAGGGGAGCGAACGGG
rnacentral:rRNA from 1 species